rnacentral:tRNA from 1 species
GGGAAUGUGGUUCAGUGGUAGAGUGCUUGCUUAGCAUGCAUGAAGCCCUGAGUUCAAUUCCUCAGUACCA